rnacentral:rRNA from 1 species
AUUGAACGCUGGCGGCAUGCCUUACACAUGCAAGUCGAACGGCAGCACGGGAGCUUGCUCCUGGUGGCGAGUGGCGAACGGGUGAGUAACACAUCGGAACGUACCCUGAAGUGGGGGAUAACGUAGCGAAAGUUACGCUAAUACCGCAUAUUCUGUGAGCAGGAAAGAGGGGGAUCGCAAGACCUCUUGCUUUAGGAGCGGCCGAUAUCUGAUUAGCUAGUUGGUAGGGUAAUGGCCUACCAAGGCGACGAUCAGUAGCUGGUCUGAGAGGACGACCAGCCACACUGGAACUGAGACACGGUCCAGACUCCUACGGGUGGCAG